UACGGAAGGUGCAAGCGUUGUUCGGAAUGACUGGGCGUAAAGCGCACGUAGGCGGUUUGUUGCGUCGGCUGUGAAAUCCCGAGGCUCAACCUCGGGUCUGCAGUCGAUACGAGCAAACUAGAGUGUUGCAGGGGAGACUGGAAUUCCUGGUGUAGCGGUGAAAUGCGCAGAUAUCAGGAGGAACACCGGUGGCGAAGGCGGGUCUCUGGGCAACAACUGACGCUGAGGAGCGAAAGCAUGGGGAGCGAACAGG
rnacentral:rRNA from 1 species